rnacentral:rRNA from 1 species
UACAGAGGUCCCAAGCGUUGUUCGGAUUCAUUGGGCGUAAAGGGUGCGUAGGUGGCGCCGUAAGUCAGGUGUGAAAUCUCGGGGCUUAACUCCGAAACUGCAUUUGAUACUGCGGUGCUUGAGGACUGGAGAGGAGACUGGAAUUUACGGUGUAGCAGUGAAAUGCGUAGAGAUCGUAGGGAAGACCAGUGGCGAAGGCGGGUCUCUGGACAGUUCCUGACACUGAGGCACGAAGGCCAGGGGAGCAAACGGG